rnacentral:rRNA from 1 species
GAUGAACGCUGGCGGCGUGCCUAAUACAUGCAAGUCGAGCGAGAAAUGCAGAAAUGAAACUUCGGUAGAUUUUCAGCAUGGACAGCGGCGGACGGGUGAGUAACGCGUAGGCAACCUGCCUCUCACAGAGGGAUAGCCAUUGGAAACGAUGAUUAAAACCUCAUAAUAUCGUAGCAACACAUGUUGCAACGGUCAAAGAUUUAUCGGUGAGAGAUGGGCCUGCGUCUGAUUAACUGGUUGGUGAGGUAACGGCUCACCAAGGUAACGAUCAGUAGCCGACCUGAGAGGGUGAUCGGCCACAUUGGAACUGAGACACGGUCCAAACUUCUACGGAAGGCAGCAGUAGGGAAUCUUGCACAAUGGACGAAAGUCUGAUGCAGCAACGCCGCGUGAAGGAUGACGGCCUUCGGGUUGUAAACUUCUGUUCUUGGGGAAGAAACAAAUGACGGUACCCAAGGAGCAAGCCCCGGCUAACUACGUG